AUAAAGAUUUUAAGCUACCAGCGAUUUCAUUGUUAAUGAAUAGAGGUUUUUUUCUUUC
rnacentral:tRNA from 1 species